rnacentral:rRNA from 1 species
CCUACGGGAGGCAGCAGUGGGGAAUAUUGGGCAAUGGAGGAAACUCUGACCCAGCAACGCCGCGUGAAGGAUGAAGGUUUUCGGAUUGUAAACUUCUGUUGCGAGGGAUGAAGAAUGACGGUACCUCGUGAGGAAGCCCCGGCAAACUACGUGCCAGCAGCCGCGGUAAUACGUAGGGGGCAAGCGUUGUCCGGAAUGACUGGGCGUAAAGGGAGUGUAGGCGGCCUUUUAAGUUAUAUGUGAAAGCCCCCGGCUUAACCGAGGAACUGCAUAUAAAACUGGAGGGCUGGAGUGCAGGAGAGGUAAGCGGAAUUUCUAGUGUAGCGGUGGAAUGCGUAGAUAUUAGGAAGAACUCCGAUUGCGAAGGCAGCUUACUAAACUGCCACUGACAUUGAUGCUCGAAAGUGUGGGUAUCAAACAGGAUUAGAUACCCUUGUAGUC